AUUGAACGCUGGCGGCAGGCCUAACACAUGCAAGUCGAGCGGAGCGGCGGACGGGUGAGUAAUGCCUGGGAAUCUGCCUGGUAGUGGGGGAUAACGUCCGGAAACGGGCGCUAAUACCGCAUACUAUCAGAUGAGCCUAGGUCGGAUUCGCUCGUUGGUGGGGUAAAGGCCUACCAAGGCGACGAUCCGUAACUGUUCUGAGAGGAUGAUCAGUCACACUGUAACGUAGACACGGUCCAGCCUCCUACGGUAGGCAGCAGUGGGGAAUAUUGGACAAUGGGGGAAACCCUGAUACAGCCAUGCCGCGUGUGUGAAGAAGUCCUUCGGGUUGUAAAGCACUUUCAGCUAGGAGGCGUUACUCGCAGAAGAAGCACCGGCUAACUCCGUGCCAGCAGCCGCGGUAAUAC
rnacentral:rRNA from 1 species